ACUGGGCAGACGUGCGCGCGACGCGUCCUCAGGCACGUGCGCUCUUUGACAAUACUUCAAAGCCAGGUGAAUUUUUUUAUUAUUCUUUUUACAUUUGUUUGUUUGGCUUUUAUAGCCUUUUACAAUAAAAAAUAACAAGAGGAAGAAAAACCUCAAUGCACUUUGAGCUUCGGUACCCGGAAGCCUGGUGGGCUUUUUUUUUUUUUUAAUUCUGUCACAUGGCUCUGAGAUUUUUAAUAACAACAACAAAAAUGGCGACAUAUCACGUUGCGUCGCGCGCUGUGAGCUUGCUGCGUCAUUUAAAGAUAGUCACGUAAAUACAACCGCGGAGCAGGAAAGAAACCCGGAUACCCGAUGUUUUUGGUGAUUAUUAGGUCAUUUUGGCAGCCAACCGACGCCGUCUCGUGACAGCAGAAAAACCCAGACGAGCUGAUGGACUUGUUUACAAGAAGAGAUUUGCGCGGUGGGAGGGGCCACGUCUGGGCGGAGCAAAAUCCGAGCCCGCAAGGCGAUUGGACGAGCCGGUGAAGUCGAGCGCGCUGAGGGCGGAGCCUACAGGAUAAUAACAAGCUGGAAGAGAAGGAGGGUGGAGAGGUUUGGAUGAGGUGUCAGUAGGUGUUGGUUUAUUUUGUCAUAGUUGAAGACUGAUUAAAUAUAAUAGACUUGA